AUUGAACGCUGGCGGCAUGCCUUACACAUGCAAGUCGAACGGCAGCACGGGAGCAAUCCUGGUGGCGAGUGGCGAACAGGUGAGUAAAGUAUCGGAACGUGCCCAGUCGUGGGGGAUAACGUAGCGAAAGUUACGCUAAUACCGCAUACGAUCUAUGGAUGAAAGCGGGGGAUCGCAAGACCUCGCGCGAUUGAGCGGCCGAUAUCAGAUUAGGUAGUUGGUGGGGUAAAGGCUCACCAAGCCGACGAUCUGUAGCUGGUCUGAGAGGACGACCAGCCACACUGGGACUGGGAAACGGCCCAGACUCCUACGGGAGGCAGCAGUGGGGAAUUUUGGACAAUGGGCGAAAGCCUGAUCCAGCCAUGCCGCGUGCAGGAUGAAGGCCUUCGGGUUGUAAACUGCUUUUGUACGGAACGAAAGGGUUUGGGCUAAUAAGCUGAGCUCAUGACGGUACCGUAAGAAUAAGCACCGGCUAACUACGUGCCAGCCGCCGCCGUAA
rnacentral:rRNA from 1 species